UAAUACGAAGGGGGCUAGCGUUGUUCGGAAUUACUGGGCGUAAAGGGCGCGCAGGCGGUUUUGGAAGUCAGGCGUGAAAGCCCCGGGCUCAACCUGGGAACUGCGCUUGAUACUCUGAGACUAGAGUUCGGGAGAGGAGAGUGGAAUUCCCAGUGUAGAGGUGAAAUUCGUAGAUAUUGGGAAGAACACCGGUGGCGAAGGCGGCUCUCUGGACCGAUACUGACGCUGAGGCGCGAAAGCGUGGGGAGCAAACAGGAUUAGAUACCCUGGUAGUCCACGCCGUAAACGAUGUGCGCUAGACGUUGGGGGGCCUAGCCCUCCGGUGUCGCAGCUAACGCGGUAAGCGCACCGCCUGGGGAGUACGGCCGCAAGGUUA
rnacentral:rRNA from 1 species